AUCACUUCUCGGCCUUUUGGCUAAGAUCAAGUGUAGUUUCUGUUCUUAUCAGUUUAAUAUGAUAUAUAUAUAUAUAUAUAUAUAUAUAUAUAUAUAUAUAUUCAGCAAUAAAAAGAUGAAAUACUACUAUUUGCAGCAAAUUGUAUGGGCCUA
rnacentral:snRNA from 1 species